rfam:Schistosoma margrebowiei strain Zambia genome assembly, scaffold: SMRZ_contig0000268
UUCCAGCUGAUGAGUCCCACAUAGGACUAAACGCGCGUUCUGGAU